AAGGCUUUAGCUUAAUUAAAGUGUCUGAGUUGCAUUCAGGUGAUGUGGGAUAAAAUCCUGCAAGUCUUA
rnacentral:tRNA from 2 species